UACGGAGGGUGCGAGCGUUGUCCGGAAUCACUGGGCGUAAAGGGCGCGUAGGUGGCCUGUGGAAGUCUGCGGUGAAAGCCCGGCGCUCAACGCCGGGUCGGCCGUGGAUACUCUCGGGCUUGAGCUUACUAGAGGCAGAUGGAAUUCCGGGUGUAGCGGUGGAAUGCGUAGAGAUCCGGAAGAACACCGGUGGCGAAGGCGGUCUGCUGGGGUAAUGCUGACACUGAUGCGCGAC
rnacentral:rRNA from 1 species